rnacentral:rRNA from 1 species
AUUGAACGCUGGCGGCAGGCCUAACACAUGCAAGUCGAACGAGUGGCGGACGGGUGAGUAAUGUCUGGGAAACUGCCCGAUGGAGGGGGAUAACUCCUGGAAACGGUAGCUAAUACCGCAUACCAUCGGAUGUGCCCCGAUGGGAUGAGCAAGUAGGUGGGGUAAAUGCUCACCUAGGCGACGAUCCCUAGCUGGUCUUAGAGGAUGACCCGCGACACGGGAACUGAGACACGGUGCAGACUCCGACGGGAGGCAUCAGUGGGGAAUAUGGCACAAUGGGCGCAAGUCUGAUGCAGCCAUGCCGCGUGUAUGAAGAAGGCCUUCGGGUUGUAAAGUACUUUCAGCGGGGAGGCGUUACCCGCAGAAGAAGCACCGGCUAACUCCGUGCCAGCAGCCGCGGUAAUUC